rnacentral:tmRNA from 1 species
GGGGAUGUACGGUUUCGACGGGGCAGGCUGUUCUUUGACUGCAGGUCGUAGAGCGUCGACUACGUAAAAAAGGCGCAAACCCUAUAAAUGCCAACACUGGCAAACUCUUCAACUUCGGCUUUGCCCAGACUGCUCCGGCUGCUCUGGCUGCCUAAGAGAAGAACCUGAUCUUCUAGCGAAGAUCACGGCCCGCCGCGGUGGUGCUCCCAGGCCCGGCGUUCGCUGACAUAAACUGGUGAGAUGCGGCGACGGGACGCCGAUAGCGUCGCCUAAGGCAAUCGGCUAGCCGGGCAGUGGAAUCCUGUUACACGGAGUCCGCCCGGUGAAUGACCAAAGGUGUAACUAAACCUGUAGAUGUCUCUGAACGAAUGUUUCGGACGCGGGUUCGAUUCCCGCCAUCUCCACCA